UACGUAGGGCGCAAGCGUUGUCCGGAAUUAUUGGGCGUAAAGAGCUCGUAGGCGGCUUGUCACGUCGGAUGUGAAAACCCGAAGCUCAACUUCGGGCCUGCAUCCGAAACUGCCCGACUAGAGGUAGGUAGGGGAGAUCGGAAUUCCUGGUGUAGCGGUGAAAUGCGUAGAUAUCGGGAGGAACACCAGUGGCGAAGGCGACUACCUGGCCCAUUCUUGACGCUGAGGCGCGAAAGCUAGGGGAGCGAACGGG
rnacentral:rRNA from 1 species